rnacentral:rRNA from 1 species
CAAAUGAAGAGUUUGAUCCUGGCUCAGGAUGAACGCUGGCGGCGUGCCUAAUACAUGCAAGUCGAACGCUGGAGAUCUAGCUUGCUAGAUUGAAGGAGUGGCGAACGGGUGAGUAAUACAUAAGCAACCUACCCACGAAGACUGGGAUAAUCUCUGGAAACGGGGACUAAUACCGGAUAGGUAAUCGGAAGGCAUCUUCUGAUUAUUAAAGGUUAAAAACACUGGUGGAUGGGCUUAUGGCGCAUUAGUUAGUUGGUGAGGUAACGGCCCACCAAGACGAUGAUGCGUAGCCGGCCUGAGAGGGUGAACGGCCACAUUGGGACUGAGACACGGCCCAGACU